AACAACGAAGAGUUUGAUCCUGGCUCAGGAUGAACGCUAGCGACAGGCUUAACACAUGCAAGUCGAGGGGCAGCAUGAUUUGUAGCAAUACAGAUUGAUGGCGACCGGCGCACGGGUGAGUAACGCGUAUGCAACUUACCUAUCAGAGGGGGAUAGCCCGGCGAAAGUCGGAUUAAUACCCCAUAAAACAGGGGUCCCGCAUGGGAAUAUUUGUUAAAGAUUCAUCGCUGAUAGAUAGGCAUGCGUUCCAUUAGGCAGUUGGCGGGGUAACGGCCCACCAAACCGACGAUGGAUAGGGGUUCUGAGAGGAAGGUCCCCCACAUUGGUACUGAGACACGGACCAAACUCCUACGGGAGGCAGCAGUGAGGAAUAUUGGUCAAUGGCCGAGAGGCUGAACCAGCCAAGUCGCGUGAAGGAAGAAGGAUCUAUGGUUUGUAAACUUCUUUUAUAGGGGAAUAAAGUGGAGGACGUGUCCUUUUUUGUAUGUACCCUAUGAAUAAGCAUCGGCUAACUCCGUGCCAGCAGCCGCGGUAAUACGGAGGAUGCGAGCGUUAUCCGGAUUUAUUGGGUUUAAAGGGUGCGUAGGUGGUGAUUUAAGUCAGCGGUGAAAGUUUGUGGCUCAACCAUAAAAUUGCCGUUGAAACUGGGUUACUUGAGUGUGUUUGAGGUAGGCGGAAUGCGUGGUGUAGCGGUGAAAUGCAUAGAUAUCACGCAGAACUCCGAUUGCGAAGGCAGCUUACUAAACCAUAACUGACACUGAAGCACGAAAGCGUGGGGAUCAAACAGGAUUAGAUACCCUGGUAGUCCACGCAGUAAACGAUGAUUACUAGGAGUUUGCGAUACAAUGUAAGCUCUACAGCGAAAGCGUUAAGUAAUCCACCUGGGGAGUACGCCGGCAACGGUGAAACUCAAAGGAAUUGACGGGGGCCCGCACAAGCGGAGGAACAUGUGGUUUAAUUCGAUGAUACGCGAGGAACCUUACCCGGGUUUGAACGUAGUCUGACCGGAGUGGAAACACUCCUUCUAGCAAUAGCAGAUUACGAGGUGCUGCAUGGUUGUCGUCAGCUCGUGCCGUGAGGUGUCGGCUUAAGUGCCAUAACGAGCGCAACCCUUAUCACUAGUUACUAACAGGUGAAGCUGAGGACUCUGGUGAGACUGCCAGCGUAAGCUGUGAGGAAGGUGGGGAUGACGUCAAAUCAGCACGGCCCUUACAUCCGGGGCGACACACGUGUUACAAUGGCAUGGACAAAGGGCAGCUACCUGGCGACAGGAUGCUAAUCUCCAAACCAUGUCUCAGUUCGGAUCGGAGUCUGCAACUCGACUCCGUGAAGCUGGAUUCGCUAGUAAUCGCGCAUCAGCCAUGGCGCGGUGAAUACGUUGAUGCUAAUCUCCAAACCAUGUCUCAGUUCGGAUCGGAGUCUGCAACUCGACUCCGUGAAGCUGGAUUCGCUAGUAAUCGCGCAUCAGCCAUGGCGCGGUGAAUACGUUCCCGGGCCUUGUACACACCGCCCGUCAAGCCAUGGGAGCCGGGGGUACCUGAAGUCCGUAACCGCAAGGAUCGGCCUAGGGUAAAACUGGUGACUGGGGCUAAGUCGUAACAAGGUAGCCGUACCGGAAGGUGCGGCUGGAACACCUCCUUU
rnacentral:rRNA from 1 species